CAACCAUAGUAAAUCAAUUCUUCUAAUUUCUUCAAACAAAAAUCUCAUCAAUCGUUGUAUAUGGAACGAUUUCUCCCGAGUUAUAAACGGCGCGGAUCGAGGCCGUUCCGGGCGUAAACCCCGGCGAGGGAACUAAUUCCGCCCUGCUAUUUACACCCGGGGAAAGGAAAGCAUUAGCGAAGUGUAAAGUUCAUCAAUAAUCGCGGGCGCAUGGUGUAUGGGUGGUCAUCUCACUGAUCUCAAAAUAUGGCUGUUUGCCAACAGUGAAGAAUUAAGGCAAAGCAUGAUCAUGCCCCAGACGUCAAAGAAGCGAACUCAUCGAUAAACAAUACGAUGCCUGACUCUGAAGGUAAA